rnacentral:lncRNA from 1 species
GGUGGAUCAGGUAUUGUUACUAUGUUCACAUUUCAAGAGUACCAUGUGUACAACAAAGUUCUUCUCUUUGCAUGAAAAAUUUAGCUAUGUAAACUUACCCCUAUUACCUUAGUCCCUUAUGGGGCUUAUGGCUUUUCCUUUGUCUUAGGUGGUUGAGAGACAGAACAGUUUGACUUGAGCACUAACUUUCUCAUUCUUAGCAAGUUUCAUAUCAGAGGUUUUGUGAUAUUUUCAAAAGAAAGCUUAAAUGUUCCUCUUAUGGUUCUCUCAUGUCACUCAAAUGGUGUAUGAUUCCUCACCAAGGCAUAUGGUAAGAGUUGCCUUCUCUAUUUCAUCCUAUUUCUAAAAGGCUUAUGUGGAGUUCAAGGUAGGGAUGAAAGGAGAUAGCAUACUUACUUUGCAUGUAUUGCGAAGUCAAAGCUCGAAUCCUUGAAGAGAAGUGUCAUACUCCCAGAUCAAGAUGUGCAAGUGUGAUAUAUGGUGGACUAGGUUGCUCCUUUAUUUGAUAGACUCUCUAUGUAUUGAGACAUGGCUAGCAUUUUUUUUUAUAUGAGCUUUCAUGUGCUCAAUUUUCUUUUUCUGUGGACUUGCACAUGUCCAUCUUUUUAUUUUUCUUUUAUUUUGCCAAGCCUUUUGAUGUCUCAUUUACCAAAUAAUGCUUAGAGAGAUGUUCUAACAUUUAGAGUAUGGAGCAACCUAUUUAGUGGAUGCGAAAUACAUGUGGUUGCGUACUUCCAGUGUAGAAGUAGCAUGUAUAUAUGUGGUGUGUACGUGAUCUUGAUCUUAGGAGCAUGAAAAGUCUCUUAACAAGGGUCAACAAGACUUGACGACACUCAACACAAAGCAAAUAGCUUAUGUGGAAAGAUUGCAAUUAUGUAAAGUAGAUAUGGCUGUGGUAGGAAUUCAUCACCAUUGAGGAACAAUUAAGGUUUUGAUCAUUUUAAGAAUAAAUCUCUGAUAAUCAUGCAUGCUUAGAAAAAUAUUAUAGUAGCUCUUGUCUUACUAUCUCAUGU